rnacentral:rRNA from 1 species
GAUGAACGCUGGCGGCGUGCCUAAUACAUGCAAGUCGAGCGAACGGACGAGAAGCUUGCUUCUCUGAUGUUAGCGGCGGACGGGUGAGUAACACGUGGAUAACCUACCUAUAAGACUGGGAUAACUUCGGGAAACCGGAGCUACUACCGGAUGAUAUUUUGAACCGCAUGGUUCAAAAGUGAAAGACGGUCUUGCUGUCACUUAUAGAUGGAUCCGCGCUGCAUUAGCUAGUUGGUAAGGUAACGGCUUACCAAGGCAACGAUGCAUAGCCGACCUGAGAGGGUGAUCGGCCACACUGGAACUGAGACACGGUCCAGACUCCUACGGGAGGCAGCAGUAGGGAAUCUUCCGCAAUGGGCGAAAGCCUGACGGAGCAACGCCGCGUGAGUGAUGAAGGUCUUCGGAUCGUAAAACUCUGUUAUUAGGGAAGAACAUAUGUGUAAGUAACUGUGCACAUCUUGACGGUACCUAAUCAGAAAGCCACGGCUAACUACGUG